AAGACUGGGAUAACUCCGGGAAACCGGAGCUAAUACCGGAUAGUUCCUUGAACCGCAUGGUUCAAGGAUGAAAGACGGUUUCGGCUGUCACUUACAGAUGGACCCGCGGCGCAUUAGCUAGUUGGUGGGGUAAUGGCUCACCAAGGCGACGAUGCGUAGCCGACCUGAGAGGGUGAUCGGCCACACUGGGACUGAGACACGGCCCAGACUCCUACGGGAGGCAGCAGUAGGGAAUCUUCCGCAAUGGACGAAAGUCUGACGGAGCAACGCCGCGUGAGUGAUGAAGGUUUUCGGAUCGUAAAGCUCUGUUGUUAGGGAAGAACAAGUGCGAGAGUAACUGCUCGCACCUUGACGGUACCUAACCAGAAAGCCACGGCUAACUACGUGCCAGCAGCCGCGGUAAUACGUAGGUGGCAAGCGNUUGUCCGGAAUUAUUNGGGNCGUAAAGGGCNUCGCAGGCGGUUUCUUAAGUCUGAUGUGAAAGCCCCCGNGCUCAACCGGGGAGGGUCAUUGGAAACUGGGAAACUUGAGUGCAGAAGAGGAGAGUGGAAUUCCACGUGUAGCGGUGAAAUGCGUAGAGAUGUGGAGGAACACCAGUGGCGAANGGCGACUCUCUGGUCUGUAACUGACGCUGAGGAGCGAAAGCGUGGGGAGCGAACAGGAUUAGAUACCCNUGGUAGUCCACGCCGUAAACGAUGAGUGCUAAGUGUUAGGGGGUUUCCGCCCCUUAGUGCUGCAGCUAACGCAUUAAGCACUCCGCCUGGGGAGUACGGUCGCAAGACUGAAACUNCAAAGGAAUUGACNGGGGGNCCCGCNACAAGCGGUGGNAGCAUGUGGUUUAAUUCGAAGCAACGCGAAGAACCUUNACCAGGNUCUUGACANUCCUCUGNANCAACCCUAGANGAUAGNGGCNUUUCCCNUUNCGGGGACNAGAGUGACAGGNUGGUGCNANUGGUUGUCGNUCANGCUCGUGUNCGUGAGANUGUUGGGUUAAGUCCCGCAACGANGCGCAACCCUUGAUCNUUAGUUGCCAGCNAUUCAGUUGGGCACUCUAAGGUGACUGCCGGUGA
rnacentral:rRNA from 1 species